rnacentral:lncRNA from 1 species
GAAUCUUGAAGGUGCUACGCGGCGAUAGGAUUGUGCUGGAGGGGAAGAAGGGAAGCAGAAGACGUUAUUACCUGGCAGGGAGCCUAGUGCGAGGUGGAGCUUCGGGAGUCAGGCGGAGCCCAGAGCGAGAUGGAGCUCCCGGAGGCAGAUCGGCACGAGACAGGAGACUCGGGAGGAUGAGAGGUGACGUCGUAAGGUGAAAUUCCUAUUGCCGCAGAAUGAUGCCCCGAGCAGGUCUCAGGUCAGGAGGAGCACAGCAUACGAUAGAGAUGGGAUCGAGCAGCCUGGCUCAACUCCUAUGUUUGCCCAUC